CAGUAUUGAAUUCGCUUUCCUAACAAACGGACGUUCUGCAAUACAAGAGUUAAUAGUACGGAUACAUUUGUCGCGUGUGGUCUGCUCUCGUAUAAUAAGUUCUUCAUGCACAUACAACCAAUAGUGUAACGCAAAUUUUAUGUAGAUAUAGCCGUCGUAAUUUAAUGUGGAUAUUCAGAAAACGGAGUCUUGCAAUUGGAACAGAAUAAAAAAUAAAGUUCAACAACAAAUUCCAAGUUACCGACAAUCAAGUCGUUUAAGCGCAAUUUAUAAGCAACACACACAAUAGAUUUUCUCAAGUGUGCCAUCGCGAUGGCUGCUCCAGCAGCCUGUACGCGUUUCUCCGAUAACUAUGAUAUAAAGGAAGAACUUGGAAAAGGCGCCUUUUCGAUAGUUAAACGAUGUGUCCAAAAGUCGACAGGAUUUGAGUUUGCUGCAAAGAUUAUCAAUACUAAGAAACUUACAGCAAGAGAUUUUCAGAAAUUGGAAAGGGAGGCUCGCAUAUGCCGUAAAUUGCACCAUCCUAACAUUGUUCGAUUACAUGACAGUAUACAGGAGGAGAACUAUCAUUAUCUCGUUUUUGAUCUUGUAACUGGUGGUGAGCUAUUCGAAGAUAUUGUUGCACGUGAAUUUUAUUCAGAGGCUGAUGCAUCACAUUGUAUUCAACAAAUAUUGGAAUCGGUUAAUCACUGCCACCAGAAUGGUGUGGUGCAUCGAGAUCUCAAGCCAGAGAAUUUACUAUUAGCUAGUAAGGCAAAGGGUGCAGCUGUGAAACUCGCUGACUUUGGUCUAGCCAUUGAAGUACAAGGCGAUCAUCAGGCAUGGUUUGGAUUUGCGGGUACUCCGGGUUAUCUAUCACCUGAAGUUUUGAAAAAGGAGCCUUACGGCAAAUCGGUAGAUAUAUGGGCAUGUGGAGUCAUUCUUUACAUUUUGCUUGUGGGCUAUCCACCAUUCUGGGAUGAGGAUCAACAUCGAUUGUACUCACAAAUUAAGGCUGGAGCCUAUGAUUAUCCAUCACCAGAGUGGGAUACUGUAACACCAGAAGCUAAAAAUUUAAUCAAUCAAAUGCUUACUGUUAAUCCAAAUAAGAGAAUUACUGCAGCUGAAGCCUUGAAACAUCCGUGGAUAUGUCAAAGGGAACGCGUGGCUUCAGUAGUCCAUCGCCAAGAAACAGUUGAUUGUCUCAAAAAAUUCAACGCGCGUCGUAAACUUAAGGGCGCUAUACUAACAACAAUGUUGGCCACUAGGAAUUUUUCAAGUAUGUUCAUGCCUUCAUAUAUAAAACAUUAUUUUCUGUUUUUCAUCAAAAAAUUUAUUUCACAUAAAGGUAGAAGCAUGAUAACCAAGAAAGGGGAUGGAUCACAAGUGAAGGAAUCAACUGAUUCAUCUAGCACAACUCUUGAAGACGACGACGUUAAAGAAGAUAAAAAAGGAAUUGUUGAUCGCAGUACUACAGUCAUAUCAAAAGAUCCAGAAGAAAUAAGGAUUGUGUGUCCUGCAAAAGCUUGCCAGCAAAUCUCAGGAAACUCACAGUGCUCUUCAGCAGCCAGACGACAGGAAAUUAUCAAAAUCACAGAACAAUUGAUUGAGGCAAUCAACAGCGGUGACUUCGAUGGAUAUACUAAAAUAUGUGAUCCACAUCUAACGGCUUUCGAACCAGAGGCAUUAGGCAAUUUAGUCGAAGGAAUUGAUUUCCACAAAUUUUAUUUUGAAAAUGUUCUUGGUAAAAAUUGCAAGGCAAUAAACACUACAAUACUAAAUCCCCAUGUACAUUUGCUAGGAGAGGAAGCGGCUUGCAUUGCCUAUGUAAGGCUUACUCAAUAUAUUGACAAGCAAGGACAUGCACACACUCAUCAGUCGGAAGAGACACGCGUUUGGCAUCGACGAGAUAACAAAUGGCAAAAUGUCCACUUUCAUCGAAGUGCCUCAGGGAAGAUUAGUGGGGCAACGACUUUCGAUUUUUUACCACAGAAAUAGAUUCGUGGCCUAAAUGGAUUAUACGUUGAAAUUCAUUCGACACAAUGAUGAUGUUAGGAACUCUACACUACUUAAAAAUUGUACUGACAAAGGAUCGUCGUAGUGCACAGCUAUCAGCGUUUUGGAGUUAGUCCCUAAUAACACAAAAUAUAAAAAUAAAUACAUAUAUUGGAGGGGCGAACAUUUGCAUAUAGGAUAAUCAAACGAGUUAAAACAAGGAAACAACACACAGACACACACAAUAAUACAUUCAUUAAUGAUUCUACAUAUUAUGAAUGACAUUUUGCUGACAUUAACUGGCGGCACCAACCUUAGUUAUUUAAGCGUAAUUAAAACAAACGCAAACGCAUUUUCAGAUUUAACUUUGCAACUAAAUUACUAUAUGAAGAAGCAAAAAUGAAAAAUAAAACAAAACAAAACAUGAUAA